rnacentral:rRNA from 1 species
AGUAACGCGUGGGCAACCUGCCUUUCACAGCGGGAUAACAGAGGGAAGCUUCUGCUAAUACCGCAUAUACCUUUAUAACGCAUGUUAGGGAGGGGAAAGAAUUAUCGGUGAGAGAUGGGCCCGCGUCCGAUUAGAUAGUUGGUGGGGUAACAGCCUACCAAGUCAACGAUCGGUAGCCGGCUUGAGAGAGUGAACGGCCACAUUGGGACUGAGACACGGCCCAAACUCC